rnacentral:rRNA from 1 species
UACUCGAGUGGCGAACGGGUGAGUAACACGGUGGGUGAUCUCGCCUGCACUUCGGGAUAAGCUUGGGAAACUGGGUCUAAUACCGGAUAGGAGCCAUCUUUAGUGUGGUGGUUGGAAAGUUUUUUCGGUGUAGGAUGAGCUCGCGGCCUAUCAGCUUGUUGGUGGGGUAAUGGCCUACCAAGGCGGCGACGGGUAGCCGGCCUGAGAGGGUGUACGGCCACAUUGGGACUGAGAUACGGCCCAG